GGUGACUCAGCAGUAGAGUGCUUGCUUUGCAAGCAUGAGGCCCUGGGUUCGAUUCCUCAGCACCA
rnacentral:tRNA from 1 species